UACAGAGGUCCCGAGCGUUACUCGGAAUUACUGGGCGUAAAGCGUGCGUAGGUGGUUCGUUAAGUCUGAUGUGAAAGCCCUGGGCUCAACCUGGGAAUGGCAUUGGAAACUGGCGACCUAGAGUGCGGUAGAGGGUAGUGGAAUUCCCGGUGUAGCAGUGAAAUGCGUAGAGAUCGGGAGGAACAUCUGUGGCGAAGGCGACUGCCUGGACCAGCACUGACACUGAGGCACGAAAGCGUGGGGAGCAAACAGG
rnacentral:rRNA from 1 species